CACAUGCACAGAGGCAGAGGGCAAGUCUGGGUAUUUUGGGUCCUUCUCUUCUACUUUCUCUGAGACAGUAUCUCCUUUCUGUUGGCAGUCUUUUGUUUGAUUAGCUCAUGUUAGUUGGUUCAAAAGCUUCUUCUAUCUUUGAUUCCUAGCUCUCCAUAGGAGCUCUGGGAUUGCAACGGGCACAGGACAUCACCCUGAUUUGUGCGGACUCUGGGGGAUUCCAAUUCAUGUCCUCAUACUCGGAUGAUUCUGCAACACUAAAGUCCCACCUUCAAGCUGACACAGACUGUCCCAAUAGCAGGCAGGCCAGGAGAGGUCUUGCCUCUCUUCAUGUUUCAGAUUAUGACAAACUAGGCAAUGGAACUAUGUCUGGAGCCUGCUUCUCCCAAACACUCCUCACGAACGUCCUUACAACAGAUUUUCCAGGAACAAAGCCAAAGAAAAAGGGUG
rnacentral:lncRNA from 1 species